AUGUAGCCAAGUGGAUCAAGGCAGUGGAUUGUGAAU
rnacentral:tRNA from 4 species